CGCAAGCCUGACGGAGCAACGCCGCGUGUGGGAAGAAGGCUCUUGGGCUGUCAACCACUUUUCUCAGGGAAGAAGCCCUGACGGUACCUGAGGAAUCAGCCUCGGCUAACUCCGUGCCAGCAGCCGCGUUAAUACGGAGGAGGCAAGCGUUAUCCGGAAUUAUUGGGCGUAAAGCGUCCGCAGGGGGCACAUCAAGUCUGCUGUUAAAGGCUGGAGCUUAACUCCGGUAGAGCAGUGGAAACUGGCGUGCUAGAGGGCGACAGGGGUAGAGGGAAUUCCCAGUGUAGCGGUGAAAUGCGUAGAGAUUGGGAAGAACACCAGUGGCGAAGGCGCUCUACUGGGCCGCGACUGACGCUGAGGGACGAAAGCUAGGGGAGCG
rnacentral:rRNA from 1 species